UACGUAGGCAGCGAGCGUUGUUCGGAAUUACUGGGCGUAAAGAGUGUGUAGGCGGUGCUCUAAGUUCGGUGUGAAAUCUCCUGGCUUAACUGGGAGGGUGCGCCGGAAACUGGAGUGCUCGAGCGUGGGAGAGGAAAGCGGAAUUCCUGGUGUAGCGGUGAAGUGCGUAGAUAUCAGGAGGAACACCUGUGGUGUAGACGGCUUUCUGGACCAUAGCUGACGCUGAGACACGAAAGCGUGGGUAGCAAACAGG
rnacentral:rRNA from 1 species